rnacentral:rRNA from 3 species
AAACUUUCAACAACGGAUCUCUUGGUUCUCGCAACGAUGAAGAACGCAGCGAAAUGCGAUAUGUAUUGUGAAUUGCAGAUUUUCGUGAAUCAUCGAAUCUUUGAACGCACAUUGCACCCUCUGGUAUUCCAGAGGGUAUGCCUGUUUGAGCGUCAUUU